rnacentral:rRNA from 1 species
GGGUAGCGACAGCACUUGGAGGAUGUAUAGCAAUAGCUACUUGCAUCAUUACAAUGGUGAUGCAAGAUCGACUAUGUCGAAUAAAAUUCUAGGUAGAAUUAUGAUAAUGACAUUGUCUGCCUAUGUGUCUUGACCAAAUUACGUGCCAGCAGUCGCGGUAAUACGUAGAAGACUAGUGUUAUUCAUGUUUAAUCGGUUUAAAGGGUACCUAGACGGCAGAUCAAGCUUUCGAUGAAAUAAGAUUAAAGGAAAAGGACUAAUUUGCUAGAGUUACUUAUGAGGGGGUAUUAAAGUACUGCUGGUGUAGAGAUGAAAUUCUGUCAUACCUCUCUUCAAAAGAAGAAUGAUGGCACAGGUAUAGGCGAAGGCAUCCCCUUAUGUGAUAACUGACGUUGAGGGACGAAGGCUUUGUGUAGCGAACAGGAUUAGAUACCCCAGUAGUCGAAGCAGAAAAUGAUGAAUGUCAUAGAUUAGAUAUAAGUUUAUUCUAUAAAUGAAAGUGUAAGCAUUCCACCUCAUGAGUAAUUUGGCAACAUUGGAACUGAAAUCAUUAGACCGUUUCUGAAACCAGCAGUGAAGUAUGUUGUUUAAUUUGAUAAUCCGCAAAAAACCUUACCACAAUUUGAAUAUUUAUAUUUUUUUAUUAUUGUUUUCUUAUUAAUUUUCUUCUAAUAACAAACAAACCAAAUAAGAAAUAAGCAAGUAGCAAAAAAAAAACAAAUGAUAGCCAUGAAGAGAUACCUGAAUAAAUAAGAAGAAAUUUAAUAAAGAGGCAAUAAGAUAUAUUUACAAGCGUUGCACGGCUGUCUUCAGUUAAUGUCGCGAGACUUUGGUUAGUUCCAUUAAAUUAACGUAAACCCUUACUUUAUUUUUAUAUAGAGUAGUUCCCCGCUAUAUUGGAUAUGAUAACAGGACUAAGACAAUCUGCUGCCCAAG